ensembl:snoRNA
AGCCGGUGAUGAAAACAUUCUGCCAUAUGAGUACACUGAUUAUACUCCUACCGUUCCAUUUAUUUCUGAGGCU